GAUUUCUUCGGGUGUUUUAGCGUACUGCUUAACAAUCCUCGCUUUCAAAGGAUUGAAUCCGGGCAGUUGUCGAGAGUUUUGGUUAGUUUGCGGUGCCACAUGAAGAUUGCCAGAAGGGAAGAAAACGACGAUCAAACACAAACAAUAUUAAACAAGCAGAGAUGAAAAAGAUACGCAGCAAUUAAAGGAAUACUAGGUAUACCUAAACGGAUUAGCGUUGAUGCACAGGAGGGUUCGUCAUGCAGAAUACCUACGCGGGGAUUUGGCAGUGAAUGUUAUACCGCCGUCUUCGCCU